GAUGAAGAACGUAGCGAAAUGCGAUAGGUAGUGUGAAUUGCAGAUGUAACGUGAAUCAUCGAAUCUUUGAACGCAAAUUGCACUCUCUGGUAUUCCGGGGAGUAUGCCUGUUUGAGGGUCGCCAAAUCAACAUCGAAAUUCAUUUGCUUUUGUAAAUGUUUAUCGGAUUUGAGCCGUCUUUUAUUUUUUUAAUUAAAGUGGCUUAAAAUGUAUUUUUUGGUAUCGAAAAACGUUAUUUUACGAUCAAAUUGAUUAAAAAAACAAACGUUUCGAAUGCCGUCUUUUAAUGUAAUACGCUUGACUGUGGUGUUAAUCAUAGUUUCAUUCGUAUACGAUUUUUUAAUUUUUGACCUCAAAUCAGGUAAGAACACCCGCUGAACUUAAGCAUAUCAAUAAGCGGAGGA
rnacentral:misc_RNA from 1 species